UGCAUCAAUAGCUCAACUGGUAGAGCAUUCGGCUGUUAACCGAAAGGUUGUAGGUUCAAUCCCUACUUGAUACGU
rnacentral:tRNA from 1 species